rnacentral:misc_RNA from 1 species
GAAAUGCGAUAAGUAGUGUGAAUUGCAGUAUUCAGUGAAUCAUCGAAUCUUUGAACGCACAUUGCGCCCCUUGGUAUUCCAUGGGGCAUGCCUGUUCGAGCGUCAUUUGUACCCUCAAGCUCUGCUUGGUGUUGGGUGUUUGUCCCCGUCUCCGCGCGUGGACUCGCCCCAAAGUGAUUGGCAGCCGGCGUACUGGUCCCGGAGCGCAGCACAUGUCGCGCAAACGAGUGCCUUGGUACGGCGGCGUCCAUAAGCCCCUCUCUCACGCUCUUGACCUCGGAUCAGGUAGGGAUACCCGCUGAACUUAAGC